rnacentral:rRNA from 1 species
UACGUAGGGAGCAAGCGUUGUCCGGAAUCAUUGGGCGUAAAGCGCGCGUAGGUGGCCUCAUAAGUCCGCUGUGAAAGUCAAAAGGCUCAACCUUUGAAAGCCGGUGGAUACUGUGAGGCUAGAGUACGGAAGAGGCGAGUGGAAUUCCUGGUGUAGCGGUGGAAAUGCGCAGAUAUCAGGAGGAACACCAAUAGCGAAGGCAGCUCGCUGGGACGUACUGACACUGAGGCGCGAAAGCGUGGGGAGCAACAGG